rnacentral:lncRNA from 1 species
CCUCUAAUGGUGGUUUUAGGAAGAGUUCUAAACAUUUUAAGAAAAAAGAAAAUAAGAGAAAAAAUAGGAAAAACUUCUUGACUUAAAAGUUAUAAAAAAACUGUUAGUCUACUCAAAAUGUUAAAAAAAAAAGAGUCUAUUCAAAGAACACGUCAUUCUACUAAAGAGAAUAAUAAUUUUAACUACUUUUAUGAAAAUAAAACUUAAAUGAAUAAUUAUAAUAUUAGUACUUUUUUCUUUUGAAAACUUCUAUAGUCUCUAACUGAUGAGGUGCUCUAAAAGGACUCUGUACUCUACAAAGGUACUUAAACAUAGCAAAAUAAUGAGUUAUAAUAAUCAACAUGGUGAAUUUAGAGGAAAAAUACUAAGGAACUUUCUCCCUUAAACUGUUUAUCUCUGGCCUGGAUCUUCCUUUACCGCCGUAAGGAAUGUAGGAGCACACAGAUUCCUCGGACCUGCGAGACAGCGAAUCGUUUACAGGAUUCAGCACUAGGGUUUUGGAGACAGUUCCUCUUCUGAGACCGGCGUUUGGGGCUGUGGGUCACCUCUGUGGAUGGCUUCUUUGACGACAAUCGGAGGCGGACCUUGAGCUGGCUUGGACACCCCUGCCAUGUGAAGUUACCGGAAGUCGUACUAGAUAGCCAAGUUUUUUACCCAAAGGAGGAGACAGUGAUUACCCGAAGUACACCGACAUCUUUCCCUCAACCUUCUCCUUACUGCUUAGAUCUGUAAUUCUUGACUUGUUGUUUAGCUUGUAAUCUAGGGCUUCCAUUUUUCCUGCCGAGAUCUUGUACUCUGUUUCGAAUGUCAUGUUUUAG